CAGAUGGUCAGCACAUAGAGGCAGGAUCCCCACCACUACACCUAGCACCUACCAUUACUCUGUGCGGUAGUGUCGAGUGGCGCCAAAAAUGGUGGCGAUCACAUGGAAUUCCUCAGGCUAGGCCUACAUCGCAGCUUCUCUUGCCUGCCUGGACUCAAUCUUUGACAGAUUCUGGGUGAACAUAGCAGCAAGACAGCAGGGUACACCGAAAACUGAACAGCACACAGCUGUAUCUACGACUCCACAAACUGACCUGCACAGACCUGCUCUGUAUCCACAGCCUCCAUGCACCCAGACGGACCGGCAGAGCUCUUUUGGCAGAGCAGUUACUGAAGACCCUCGGGCUUGUUGUACUAUUGGGGUCAGUAAAGCUCAGAAGAGAGCAGCAUAGCAUCUCAUUCUUACACAGUGUGUAUACCUACCUGUUACUUACCUUUUGAAGGGAGACCAACAAUCUCAAUAUAGACUGGGCAUUGGAUGAGGGAGUGAGACAACCCAGGCUGCCCAGUGGUACACAUGUGGUGGAGUCCUGUUAUAUCCCCGCUUUUAAGUCAAUUAGUUAACUCCCCAAAAAAUAAAAAUGUGCAGUAUAUAAGACAGCCAUGCAACUUUUUUGUUAUUUUAUAUUUUCUGUUAUUGAUGUCGCUGUUAUGGCGUUACAUGCUAUAUUGUACUUUC